UCCUCUCCCAUCCCACCAAAAAAGGGGUGAGGAAGAGCGAACUUGCCCUUCCCCGUGAAGAGGGUCGAUCUGCGCACUUUGCGGGUGCCGUGCCUUGCGCUUCCUCCACGACAACGACAACUGCGACACCCCGCGUCCCACCACUCCCGCGCUGCGACUCGCGCCGGGAAAGUAGUAGGAGAUUGGAUCGGUUGGCGUAUCGCAACUUGCUGAAGUGCGGAUCAGCGCCUUUGUCCACCUCCCUCACUCUCUCUGCGUCGUGUAUAAUCGUUCGCUUUUGUAUUCUCUUGUUCGUAAGGGCCCUUCCCUACUUCCCUCUGCCUUCCUCCAAUGGCGGGCCGGUGCGACGCCGCCAGCCCGCUGCCCCUGCGCGCUGUGCUUAGGGCUCACGAGGUGGUCGCGGCAGGGCGUGCGGAAAACGUGCUGCAGGUGCCGUCGCCCAUCUACACGGCCAUUUUCGUGGAUGCGCAUCACGCACUCAUAGGAGCCGGCGGCGGUGGCCGGCGCUUUGGCAUGCCGAACAUUGCCCUACUGUUGCGCGUGCAGUCGCUGGGCAGCGCGUCGAAGGCGGACCCCACCACCGAGGCCCCCGCUACGUCUUCGGCGCUAGCAGCAGACGCGCCACCAGUGUGGAGCUUCGCAGCAGCGGUGGAUCUCGGUCCAGACAACAUUCCGUGGUGCACCUCAUCUUUUCUUCCCUUUGAGGCGAGUGCGCAGGAGAGGAAAGCAUGCAGCGGCGCGUCUACUGAACCGGCGGCACUGGACUGGUCCGAUGCCCAGCGGCGCGUCCUUGACGGCCUCGUCGGGUUUGUCGCGCUCAGCACCGUGGCGUCAUUCUUGCUUCUCGGUGUUUUUCGCGGCCCCGAGCCGUCGACCUCGCAAGCCACGGAACCCUCUGCAUCCUCUGCAGCCAGCGCGCCUGCGAGCACCAGCGGAGACGCAGAUUCGCGCCGCUACCUCCGCCAGCUGGCCCGCAUCGAAGUGCCGAGUGACGCAAAGAACCCUGACAAGAAGCCCAUCGCACUCGUCCAAAACCUGGUCCUUGUCUCACACGAUGACAAUGGUGUGCUCGCGUUCGCUCUUACUGACCUCGUGCCGGACAGCUGUGAAGAUGAGGAUCUUGACGCGUACACGGCCAGAUACGCUGACCAGACUACGAACGGUGCUUCUGGCGCGGUUCUGCAACGACGCGUUCCGCGCGUGCGAACCGAGGCCGCCCCUGUGGCUUCAUGGCAGCUGCCUGCGCGCGUGAAUGAUUUGAGCGUGAACCGAGUGUGCAUCGUGAAAGCUGACGCGAGCAACGGAGCGUCGUCGUCGUCCCCGCGGCCCUGUAAGGCACACCUGCAGGAGCAUCUCGUUGUUGCCGCCUUAUUGCUGAACAAGACGCUGGUGCUGAGCACUGUACGCCUGCGGCGCCGCUACACCCGCUCACGUAGUCACAAGGCGUCUGCCGUUCAAGAAGAGACCACCGCUGAAAAUAUGCAGACAGAGGCCAAGUCGGACACUACGGCGGCCGCCACCAUGAGCACCGCGUUGACCUUGACGGAGAACAUGCUUCCGCUACCGUUCAAGUUGAUGACCUCUUCUCUUCGCCUGGUGCGUCUCUUCGGCUGGGGCGACAUCGACGCCGCUCAGCAGGCCGAUAUGCGGCGUCGCCUCACGUGGCAGUCUCUGCAAGCAGGGGGUGCGCCCACGCACGGCCCGCUGUGCGGCAUCAUGGUGGCAGCCUACAACUCCGUGACGAACGAGUCGUAUGUAAUUCACGGUGCAGUAGAGGUGAUGCCACUAACGUCGUCUAUGCCAUCCUCCUGUACAUGGGAUAGUAUCGGGCCUCUAUGUUUGAAGGUGCAGUGGACGCGUAAAGACCCGGCCCCGGUGCUAAGCGACGCCAUCACGUCGCUGGCCGUUUACACGGACGGGCCCCCGGGAGAGUAUGCCACCCGCGUUUCAGCAAACCCUCUCGGCGCUGCGGUCCCCACGCGCUGGAUUGCUGGCACGGUCGAGGGUUGGGUAGCAUCUCUGCGUCUGAGCCACGACCCCGCGCAGCGGCCUCACUGGCAAGCGGAUCAAAUUCGCCCUUCACCAAACAAAUCUGUGGCGCGGCGCUACCCUGCACUGCACAAGGAGCCGGUCUCAUGCGUGGCCGUCUCCUCUGAGAACGACGUGGUGAGUGCUGACAUUGCCCAAAAUGUGGCGCUGACAACACUGCCAUACGCCGUGCCGCGUGCACCUUCCUCGGCGACGGCAUCGCCAUCGUCGAAAACGCUGAGAUGCGAUGUUGCUGUGCAGCCCCGCUCGACAUCCUCCUCCCCCCUGUUCCCUCCAGCAGGGGCAGUGAGUGGUGGGCUUCUGGGAAGCCUUACGGACAAUCUCGCCAACGGUCUGUCGUCGCUGCGCGUUGCCUGGUUCCUGCUCAUUCCGCUAGUUCUGCUGCUGGCCGGCAUGAUCAUCAGCCGGAGACCGUGAGCUGUGCGUUUUGCAAACCUUCAUCCAGAACCCCUUCGAGCAUCUGCGGAGCUAGGGAGUGUGUGCGCAUGCCCCCUGCCCGUCUUUUGUAGCGUAUGCACGUUUUUUUUUUUGCGCCGUUGUUAGUUUUGUUUUUCAGGUACGCAUGCACUUGUAUGCGACUCGCGGUGGUGCUCCGUUCACGAGGGUCGUCAAGCAGAAGAAGACAGACAAAUCCGAGCGAACAAAAGAAGAGGAGGCUCAACCAUCCUGUGACGUCAACGAGUAACCCUCUUCGCGAAGCAGCCAGCGCGACGAGGUAGGAGCGUGAGAAACAGAGGGAUGCACAUACAUGUGCGAGGUGUGCCUGCCGCCGUGCUCUAUCUUUGACGCCCUCUCUCCAAGCCCGUGGGACGAGAGCUACGCAAGCGUCUCUCUCCCCUCCACUCCCGCACACUCCUCCUAAGCCGCCUUUGCGCCUCUCCGGCCUCCUCCAUGACCGCGUAUGUGCACUCUCUCUCUCCUCCUCCCUUCCGCAUUCUUCACCCGCGCCACACAACGGAUGCCAUCAUGUGGCAUGUCUCUCUCACGCAAUCUAUGCGCCACCCCCCUCUCUUCCCCUGGUACGCAUAUGUGGGGCGUCUUGGACCCACUCCCACCUCCACUCCACCACAUGUGUGCUCACGACACCAACGUGGUGUCAUGUCUGUCUGCAUUCGCCCUCCUUUGCAUUCGCCUUCUUCCUCCUUCACCCCUUCCUCUCCUCCUCUCAUCUGCACAG
rnacentral:misc_RNA from 1 species